AUGGUCAGCCACACCACGGCAAUCUUCCCCGGCGAGCUGCCCUGCUUUGGUGCUCGCGCAGCUCCUCUCUCACCCACGGAUGCAGGAGGGGCUGUGUGGUGGACUGGUGGUGCGGUGUUGCAAAUGGAGAGCGCCGGCGGCUAUGGGAUGGGUGGUGUGGCAAGACGCUGCUCGAACAGCCAUGGCGUUGACCAGACAACAAUCAAGCGGCGCUGCAAACCAGCAGCCGUCGGUGAUGGAGAAGACACGCUCCGCUGCUGCGACGGCUGGCUUUUUUGCUGGAAGCAUGCCGGCGAAAAGCUACAACCAGCGUUGCUGGUGAUGGAGAUGGCAGGCUCUGGUGCUGCAACCGGCUAG
rnacentral:rRNA from 1 species